GAUCAUGGCUCAGGACGAACGCUGGCGGCGCGCCUAACACAUGCAAGUCGAACGGAGAUUACAGGCGGAAGUUUUCGGAUGGAAGCUUGUAAACUUAGUGGCGGACGGGUGAGUAACACGUGAGCAACCUGCCUAUCAGGAGGGGGAUAACGAUUGGAAACGAUCGCUAAUACCGCAUGACAUAGCGGAACCGCAUUGGGUUUUUGUUAUACAAAAGUAUUUUUAUCGCUGAUAGAGUGGGCUCGCG
rnacentral:rRNA from 1 species